UGGGCUGUUUCCCUUUCCUUCUCCCUUUCAUUUAUUUCCGACUUUUUCCUUGCUCCCCAUCGUUUCCAGAGGCUCUAGUGUUCUGCUGUCUUGCUGCUUUUACCCCGAGGGAUCCUGGAACCUGCCUGCAGCAACACAUUGACAGGGUCUUCUGGGAUCCCUGGGACAUGGGGAUGGUCAGCUGCAGCUCAGCGGCUUCUUUCCAUCAGCUCCGUCCAGUUCUAUUUGAACACUGAGGAGCUUUGAGAUGGCCAGGACCCACUGCAAGGGUGCAGAAGAGGGAAAAGCCAGGGAGAGGUGGAGGCUCCCAUCCUUCCUGCGGUGCAUUUCUUGGAGCUGGAGGAGCCAGAGAAAAGGUCACGAAGCAAAAGCUGUAAACAACAUUCAUGACGAUGACCUGCAGGACUCUGAGGAAGAAGUGGCUCUGACCAGCCUGUCCUCCAAUGGAAACUACGAAGAGGCUGCUGGAGGCACAGGCACCUAGAGCUGCUGAGUGCCUGGCACAGUCCACAUCCCAGAUCUGUCUGGUGGAUUCCGAGCAGUGAGAGGAGGAGCUGGUGCAUGCCCACUCACCCCCUCCGCUGAGGACCCACCACUCUGGGGAGAAGCUGCUCGGCUUCACUUGCCAGGGUCUUCUGUAGCUGCUGACAGCUUCUGAGGUCCGUGCCAGAGAGCCUCCCUGCUGCGCCCUGCUGCCCGGGGUGCCUGGAGCUGCUGCUGGACAUGGGGCUUCCAAGAAUCCCUUUGGGAUGUAUCCCAUGACCUGGGCAAGAUGACGUUGGGACUUUGGGUGUGAAAUGCAGCC
rnacentral:lncRNA from 1 species